ACCUGGGUGGCUCAGUCGUUUGAGCAUCUGACUUCAGCUCAGGUCACGAUCUCGCGGUCCGUGAGUUCGAGCCCCACGUCGGGCU
rnacentral:tRNA from 1 species